GAUGAAGAACGCAGCGAAAUGCGAUAAGUAAUGUGAAUUGCAGAAUUCAGUGAAUCAUCGAAUCUUUGAACGCACAUUGCGCCCUCUGGUAUUCCGGGGGGCAUGCCUGUUCGAGCGUCAUUAUAACCACUCAAGCUCUCGCUUGGUAUUGGAGUUCGCGAUCUCGCGGCUCCUAAAAUCAGUGGCGGUGCCUGUCGGCUCUACGCGUAGUAAUACUCCUCGCGAUUGAGUCCGGUAGGUUUACUUGCCAGCAACCCCCAAUUUUUACAGGUUGACCUCGGAUCAGGUAGGGAUACCCGCUGAACUUAAGCAUAUCAUAAGCUGAGGA
rnacentral:misc_RNA from 1 species